AUACGUAGGGGGCAAGCGUUAUCCGGAAUCAUUGGGCGUAAAGAGUGCGUAGGUGGUUUCUUAAGCGUGGGGUUUAAGGCUACGGCUUAACCGUAGUUCGCCCCAUGAACUGGGAGACUUGAGUGCAGGAGGGGAAAGUGGAAUUCCUAGUGUAGCGGUGAAAUGCGUAGAUAUUAGGAGGAACACCAGUGGCGAAGGCGACUUUCUGGACUGUAACUGACACUGAGGCACGAAAGCGUGGGGAGCAAACAGGAUUAGAUACCCUGGUAGUCCACGCCGUAAACGAUGAGCACUAGGUGUCGGGGAGACAAUCCUCGGUGCCGCAGUUAACGCAUUAAGUGCUCCGCCUGGGGAGUACGUUCGCAAGAAUAAAACUUAAAGGAAUUGACGGGG
rnacentral:rRNA from 1 species